ensembl:lncRNA
ACCUUGAUAUAUAUUCAGGCUUUUGGGACGCAGUAGUGAUCUCAAUGACACCAAGUUCAUCAGACAAUUUGACUUACAGUGAAGCAAGGGAUGAAUGUAUUAAGCAGAAGUUUUCAUGCCUUGGCUUUGGAUUGUGGCAGUCUGGAUAUUUCACACUCAAUGGCCUUGAACUGGUUGGUGGCACCUUUGGUUCAACUGUGACUUUUUUAAAAUCAGGGUGUGAUUAUGGAUAUUAUGGGUCAGAAUGUGAAGCUGAUUGUCCACGUUGCCAUUGGGACAAAUUAUGCCACCCUGUAACUGGAACAUGUGAAGGUUUUAUAGCUUGUGCUGCACCUACGAGCGUGGGUAUCUGUUCUCUCGAUGUGGCUGAGACAGAUGAUAAGUGAACAAAUGUGGAUUGGAAUACGGUGGCACUCCCAGAAGGGAGAGUGGCAAUGGGGAGAUGGGACAAAAGCACAAACUAAUUUACACUGGUUAAGGAUACAAAUGAAUGCACGUAGUGGCUGUGGCACUCUUCUUAAUAAUCAGUCAAAUCUGCUGGCAGCAAAGUGCUCUGAAAAAUUACAUUUCAUAUGUGAAAGACAAGAAAAUCUGAACAUAUUCCAGGAGUACAAAGGUCACAUAAUACCACAAAGACAACAGGCAUUGCCCAACACUUUCUAUACGUUACAGUCUGCUCAGGAAGAAUGCAUCUUUGAGCGAACUACUUGUACUGGUGUAGUCUUUUCGCAGGGCCAUUACUAUAUGGUCAGUGGGAAGACGGUAUUCAAAAGCUUCAACGCUGAAGACAUACUGUAUUUGAAAUCCGUUUGUAAUCCUGGAUUUCAUGGCACAAAUUGUCAGUUCCGUUGCCAGAACUGCUCCAAUAACCUUCCAUGCCAUGCUAUUACUGGAGAAUGUGUGGGCACUAGCCUCACCCAGUGCAGCUUAGAUUCCUCAGAUCCAAAAUGCAUUCAAGAAGCAUUCCCAAACCCAUGCCCAAAGAAGCCCAAAUGGUAUCACUAUUCAAAGUCAUGCUACUAUGUUGAAGAUUCAAAAACUGACACGUGGGCUAAUGCCAGAUUUUCCUGCCAAGGUUUUAAGGAAACAGACCUUGUUAAAAUUACAAACAGCAAAGAAAAGAUGUGGGUUCAGCAAAAAGGAGUCGAUAGCUGGAUUGGUCUGACCUUCUGCAAGCAGUUAUAUGAAUAUGUUUGGGUAGAUAACUCAUCUUCAGUCUUUCAAAAUGCAUGGGUGAUUCGACGAAACAGACGAUACACAAAAUCUCAUUUUGAUUGUGGAGUUGCUUUCAAAAAAUUUCUCUCAGUAACAGAUUGUUCCCACCGAAGAAACUGGAUUUGCAAGAGAGGAGAAGAUGUUGAUCUCUUUACUGAGCACAAGGGAAGAGCCUUUUACUUGCCUUCUGGAAAAGCUCCUAAAUAUUCAACCUUAGAUAAGGCGAAACAAGCCUGCUUAGUCUCUCCAAACUGUACUGGAGUGGUAGAAGUAGAGAAAAAUUUCACACUACACACUGGUAUGGAGAUAUAUAACACCAGAGAUAAAAAAGUGAAAACAUGGAUCAAGUCAGAGUGUGUUGCUGGAAGAUUUGGGCAGAUGUGUGAAAAAAUGUGUCGCAAGUGUGAUGAUGAUGAUGUAUUAUGCAACCCACACACAGGCUUUUGCAGUGAUAGCCUAUUCUGCAACAAAACUGACCCUACUUUCAGUUGUGAAAAAGGGUCUAUAAUUGGUGGGAGGUGUCCUGUUGAAGAUGGCUGGAUAUACUGGCAUGGCAGCUGUUAUUACAUAAACAGGGAUAAAGAUGAAGACUGGCUAUAUGCAAGAGAGAUGUGUAUACGUUCCAAGGGCACAAGUAACCUGGAAGAGAUAUAUAGGCAAUCUUUUUCAACCUGUCCACAGAUAGAUAGGAAUGGGACCGUUAGACAUGUUCCUUGCACUUCUUUGGCUGCAUGGGUUUGUAAAAGGGAUGUAGAUGCCAAGAUGUUUUGGCAAUAUCAUGGAAAGUUACUUAUUUUGCCUUUGGGGGAAAGAAUGUAUAUAAAUAUGGAACAUGCCAAGUCAGCCUGUUUUUUAGAAGACAAAUGCACUGGAAUCGCCUAUUGGAAGAAGCAGUAUGUGCCAGUCCGUGGUAAGGAGUUAAUCUUAACAAAAUUACAGCAGGAUGGUGCAUACAUGAAAACAGAACUAGCAAGCAAAUUUUGCUACCACUCUUGGACAUACUUCAACGGACGUUGUUAUUAUAUCUCUUCCUAUGGACAAAUUAAUAAAAGUGAUGCAGAGUAUAUGUGCAGUCUCUACAAAGGAGCCCGACUUCUGCAUUUGACUACCUCUGAGGAAAAGGAUUGGAUAACUAAGAUAAUUUCUAAAAGAAUAUGGCUUCACAGUGUGAGUCCAGCUUUCCAGUCAAAAAUAUGGCUUUUACCAUUGGAUGAAAAAAUAUACAGGACUCUCACAGACAUUGAGGAGUUGUGCCUUCAGCUGGAUCCAUGGCUGGAACGUCUAAUAUCAAUUCCCUGUUCGCAAAAUGCUUCAUGGGUCUGUGAAGCCCCAUUAGCUUCUGAGCAAGUGGAUCAACCAGUUAAGUGGUGGGAAUCAAUGGUCACAUCCCUUUUGGUAACUAUUAUCAUAUUAGCAAUAACAGUGGUAGCUACAUUUAAAUAUGGACAAGUUCCUGCAGCAACAAAUGAAGCAAAGCCACAAUCAUUUUAGUCAGAUGCCGAAAGCAUGGUUCCAGGGAUACUUAUGUCCUCAGAGGAGGAAAAAGCAAAAUAUGGUAUACAGUAUUGGUAAAAAGCAGGUCCAGUGAAUUCUCGUUGCUUUGGUUUGAAAACAAAAUAUUGGCCAUGGCUACUUGAAGAGAUCAUUGAGAUUUGAAGGGAAAGAAAUAAUACAAAAAAUGAGAAAAAGGAAACUGAGAAUAGACUUCACAAAACAGAGAGAAUAUAAAUAAAAUAGUAUAAUCUAGAUGAUCCCA